AAAAGUUUUGUUUAUGCUUUAAAGAAAGCUGAUAAUAUAAUUCUCAUACACAAUCUAAAGUAGGGAUUAAAUUUAUAUAAAUAAUUUAUAGUUAUAGUUAUUUAAACUAAGCCUGGAAAAUUAUGUGCCAGCAUCAGCGGUCAAACAUAAGGGCUAAGCUUUCUUUUACUACAAUACCUAAAAUUAAAACUAAUAAAUAACAAAAAAUUAUUUGUGGUGAAAUAAAAUAAUUUUAAUCUCAAUAAUUGAACGUUAAUAAGCUAGGAAUUAAACCAGGAUUUGAUACCCUGCUAUUCUAGUUUAUAAAAAUUGUAGAAAAUUACCUUUUUAGGGAAAUUUAAAAAUCAUGACAGUUAGAAUUUCUAAUCAGAUGAAUAUGUCUCUUAAAAUGAUACUCCCCAAAAAAUCUGACUUAAGUUUGAAUACUAAUACACUCUUCCCACCGCCGUUUUGGGUAAAAUGAAUUUUUACUAUCAAUCAAACUAGCUAAAACUUAUACUUUACUGAUAAAGUAAAAAGUAUGAGUAAAUGUUAGAUUAAAUAAAUCAGGUAAAGGUGAAGGUUAUACUUAAGGUGAGAUGUAUUACAUUUUAGUUAAAAGUGGAAUAAUUAUUGAAAAAUAAUUAUGAAAAUGAAUUUGAAAGUAAUAAAUUUUAAUAAUAAAUUUAUGAAUAUGAACUUUCUUUUGUACAGAUCGCCCGUCGCCCCCAAGUCAUUCUCGGGGUAAGUCGAAACACAGUAGAAGUACUGGAAAGUGUUUCUAGAACCUCUCCC
rnacentral:ncRNA from 1 species